rnacentral:piRNA from 1 species
UCCACGUGCUUCCCGUGGUCUGAUGGCUC